rnacentral:rRNA from 1 species
CAGCAGCCGCGGGAAUACGGAGGGUGCAAGCGUUAAUCGGAAUUACUGGGCGUAAAGCGCACGCAGGCGGUCUGACAAGUCAGAUGUGAAAUCCCCGGGCUUAACCUGGGAACUGCAUUUGAAACUGUCAGGCUGGAGUCUUGUAGAGGGGGGUGGAAUUCCAGGUGUAGCGGUGAAAUGCGUAGAGAUCUGGAGGAAUACCGAUGGCGAAGGCAGCCAUCUGGCCUAAUACUGACGCUGAGGUACGAAAGCAUGGGGAGCAAACAGGAUUAGAUACCCCGGUAGUCCCUGUCUCUUAUAC